rnacentral:misc_RNA from 1 species
AAGUCGUAACAAGGUUUCCGUAGGUGAACCUGCGGAAGGAUCAUCAAUGAAUUUUCAAAUGAUGGCCUACAUCUUUGAAAUUGUCUAGCGAAAUUUUAUUUGCUUGACUGGAAUUGACGGAUUAUUGCCUAAUUUAGGCGAUAAUUAUUUUUAAAGUCUAAGGUUUUAAAGUAAGGCGGUACUUUAACCAAAAAAAUUCUCAACUUAACCGACCAAAAAAACAACUUUCGGCAACGGAUCUCUCGGCUCACC